rnacentral:rRNA from 1 species
CCUACGGGGGGCUGCAGUGGGGAAUAUUGGACAAUGGGGGGAACCCUGAUCCAGCCAUGCCGCGUGUGUGAAGAAGGCCCUCGGGUUGUAAAGCACUUUCAGUGAGGAAGAACGCCUGGUGGUUAAUACCCAUCAGGAAAGACAUCACUCACAGAAGAAGCACCGGCUAACUCCGUGCCAGCAGCCGCGGUGAUACGGAGGGUGCGAGCGUUAAUCGGAAUUACUGGGCGUAAAGCGCGCGUAGGUGGCUUGAUAAGCCGGUUGUGAAAGCCCCGGGCUCAACCUGGGAACGGCAUCCGGAACUGUCAAGCUAGAGUGCAGGAGAGGAAGGUAGAAUUCCCGGUGUAGCGGUGAAAUGCGUAGAGAUCGGGAGGAAUACCAGUGGCGAAGGCGGCCUUCUGGACUGACACUGACACUGAGGUGCGAAAGCGUGGGUAGCAAACAGGAUUAGAUACCCCUGUAGUC